AUAUAAACUACAACCCAUCAGAUCAUGCCACAAUUCUGCAGGGACAUCAACAAGGAAGGUUCCUAAUCUGUUGCAGCGAUGUAUUCUGGGAAGGGGACAGCGGUGGUGCUAGUGUUCAGCCUCCUGGUGCUGUGUGAUGUUGGCUUCUCCCGUAUCAUCUUCAACCCAAUUGGUGAUGGGAACUGUACGGAUAACCCAUGUGCGUCACCCUGCACUUCCACAUGCUCUCGUCCUCUACAGAAAAAAAGUUUCUGCAUCGCCGUCUGCAAACCGAUGUGUGUGUGUCACAUUGGCUAUGUAUACAACAGUACCGGACAGUGCGUGUUCCCUAGCGACUGCAAAUGAGACUCUUUCCUUUUCCUCCCAGAAUAAACAUGUCCCAACCAAUCACAACAGCUAUUGUACCUAAUGUCUCUUUCUGGUAGUUUCCUUUUACAUAAAUCAAUA